CGAGUAAGCCAGACAGUCGCUGCUGCUUUAUGCAGGAGAGGAAAGUCGGAGCUCCAUAGGGCAGGGUGCUGGGUAACCCCCAGUCAGGGUGACCUGAAGGAAAGUGCAACAGAGAUAUACCGCCUAAGUUUAACUUAGGUAAGGGUGGAAAGGCGAGGUAAGAGCUCACCAGCGUAAUGGCGACUUUACGGCUAUGUAAACCCCACCUGGAGCAAGAUCGAAUAGGGGAGUAGGAAGAUUAACUUCCAGGGACGGCCCGUCCUGCUCCCGGGUAGUAUCGCUUGAGCUUAUUGGUAACAAUAGGCCUAGAUAGAUGACUGUUUAAUACAGAACUCCGCUUAUAGGUUUAGUCGCAUA
rnacentral:RNase_P_RNA from 2 species